GUUGGUGCUGAUGGAUCUCUCACUGAUAAUUCAGAUGUUCAUGAAAAAUGGCUGGAGCAAGAUAUCUUUUUUAUAUUCAUGAUUACCAACACUCUCUCAACUGAGGCUCUUACAUCGGUAAUUGGCUGUCAAAAGAGCCAUCCUAAAGAGCGGGACUCCCAGAAAGGGGCCGUAAGGCACGCCACCCACGAAAUAUAAAGAACCUAAAGGAGCAUGGAUCAUAUAUUCCGCAGAACGCCGCUCUUGCCAAGGCUGUACUUCUCGGGCCGAAGAAGCAGUAUCACUCUAUCAUUAUCAAACUGACUGCAAUCUUUUUCUGUCUGGGAGGAUCCCACCGGAGCAGCUUUUACUUCUACUUCUAAUAGGCCAUGAACUAGAUCAGAAUCAUUCUCAACGAGUCCACUUUCUUUGCUCUUUUCCUUAGCGCAAGAACUAAGAAAGUUGACUAGCAGUGACAACCUUGAUCGAAUGUGUAGGAUAGGUGGGAGGUGGUGACACACAACGACUAAUCCUGAAAGACCACUCUUUUGUCUAAGGAUGCCUAACCGUCGCACCAAGUAGGGACGGGGUAGUCUUCCUUUGUCGUUGGGGACUUCUAUUUAUUUACCCGGAGUCCGCGGGUGAGGGUAAGGAGGACUGAUUCUCCUCCAACUUGUCUGGUUAAUGGAGCUCUAGAAGUCACUUCGCUUUCUGGGAUGGAGAAUGCAAGCACUGGUUUUGGUAUGUCACCUACAUCAGUUAACUCACCAACUACAUUUCAGCCCAACUUCAACUUGUCUAAUGGAAAUUAUCAGCCUAUGUCAUUUAUGGGAAAUAAUACUUUCAUGAUGAACAGCAGAAUGGGAACUGAGGGAAAUUUCAGCUCAUUGCCAUUCCAAUUUGGUUUCGCACAUCAGUCUACUGGUUUUCUUGCUCAAAAUGGUUCUUCUGUGUCAUAUGGUAGCCAGCAACAGGAAGUGCCUGUCAUGAAUAGCUGCAACUACAACAAUGUUUCACAACAGAAUGUAAUGGUGCCUCAAAAGCAGUUUUCUCAGCAAAAUGUACAAACCGGAGCAUUUAACAAUGGCUAUCAGCAGAGUGGUGUCAGUAACUCAUUUUCUGAUAGUGGUUUCAGAUGACACUGUUUUAUAUCCAAUCCAAACUUUCCAAAUAACAAAGGUACAAACAACAACGACAAUAAUGCAAAACCAAGAGCCACAUGGAACUUCAGCAAUGUCAUUGUCUGUCAAAUCUGUGAGAAACCGGGUCAUGGUGCAUGGAAGUGCUUUCAAAGAAAUCCCAACAACAGCAAGGCACAUCAAGUUCUUCAAUGGUAUGCAAAAUCUGUCACAAACAUGGUCACUCUGCCUACAUAUGCAAAAUCGGGAAAUCUGUUCAAUUGGAGGAGAAGAACUUUGAAGCAGAGAAGAAAGAGUUAACAUGAUGAAGAAACAGUUAAUCGGAGGAUUUGGCUAGGCUUUUGGCUGAAGUGGAGCACAUAAAGGCUGAUAAUCGGAAGAUCAGUGAGGAGAGUGAUCGAAUGAAAGCGAGUAAAGAAGAGAGGUCACUAUGUCAGCUGUUGCAAUCAGAAUUGAUACAGGAAAUUGACAAAUACAUCCAACAGAAAGAACUGCUUCUAAAGGAAGCUGAAGAUUUGGAGCAGCAAAAGGAGUUUUUUGAGAAAGAGUGGGGGAAGAGCUAAAUGAAAAAAGAGCUGAGAUUGGGAAAGAGCUGAAGAGUGUGAGAGGACAGAAAGAAGAAGUAGAAAAGCGCAACCAAAUUGAAGUAGAGAGGUCAAAAAAUAAAAGGGCAACAACACAGGAUUGUAUACAAAGGGAACGAGAAGGUCUUGCCAUGCCAACUUUCAUUGCAAUUUCCAUUCAGAAAGCAUUUGUUUCUGCAACUCCGGAUAAAACUCUUCUGCAUUGUAGGCAGGUCUCUCAUUCUGUGGAGCUGUGUCAGGAACUACCACUCAUUCCUCCUGGUUGAGACAAGUUUUGGACACUAGCUUCUGUUGACUGCAAUUGGUUCCUUGCUUGAUCAAUUUCUGCACUUCACCAAAGGCCUUCGGAUUGCACAAUUUAUAUCUCUGCUGCAACCUAGUCCUUGGUUUCCCAAGCACUAGUUUGAGGGGGGAGAUGCAAAGAGUAUAAUUGGUAAUGAAGAUAGCCAGGUCCUCCCUGCUCCAAACCGAGCUUUGAUGGUUCAGCUACGUAAUGUGGAUUGCAUUGUUUAUGCCAUGGCAUGGGUUAAUUCCCUCUUUACUUCUGUUUGCCCAUCACUGGCAUUAAUUGGCAUUGGGAAGAUUAUAUGUUCAAGCCAGGUCCUGCCGCAAGCCCGCAAGGUACUUUUGUUAAAUGGUACCCAUGAUCGAGAGACAAGUGGUUUCUCAGCUUCUUGCUUUGUAACUGCUAUUAGAGAUGCACUAAGUCGAACAUACGGAUGCCCUCAUAACUGGCUUAAGAACCUUAUUGUUGUUGACUCUGUACAUGAUCCAAAAGUGGUUGUGGUAUUUGACCCCAAGUCGUUAAUACAAGCCCUUGAUGAUUUGGUAGGCAGACACAUGACUACAAAUGUUAAGGUUGUCUAAUGAUGAGAGUACAGAGAUUAUGUUCAGACCGAGCGUAGUUUCAUGUGGCUUUUGUUCAUAGUUUCAUGAGCGUUGAGGAAUACUUACUUGCUCAGUUUGACUGUUAUUUGAUCUUCACUUGCAAGGAUGUAUGCGGCAAAUUUGGUACUUUUAUUGGAAAGGUUGCAGGCUCAAUUCAAUUGAACUGCGUCAUCAAAAGAUCAGAGAACACGCGCUUGACCUCUCACAAGAUGUUUUCAGAUGCGGUACAGAAUCAACUUUGAUAUUCAUGAACUGGAAAAGAAAGAAAUUCUGUCAAUCAUUUGAUCAUGCUUGAGAAAAUUGAUUUUUAUGUAUAUAAAUGUUUUCUGUGUAUAUAUGUCUUGUACGCCAAUACCAACUAUUUGCUAUGGCCUAAAG